rnacentral:rRNA from 1 species
GACGAACGCUGGCGGCGUGCCUAAUACAUGCAAGUCGAACGCAGUGGGGACGGGUGAGUAACACGUGGGUAACCUCCCAUCAGAGGGGAUAACACUUGGCAACAGGUGCUAAACCGAUACUGAAGGAGGUACCCGCGGGGCAUUAGCUAGUUGGUGAGGUAACGGCUGACACAGGCCACGAUGCAUAGCCGACCUGAGAGGGUGAUCGGCCACACUGGGACUGAGACACGGCCCAGACUCCUACGGGAGGCAGCAGUAGGGAAUCGUCGGCAAUGGACGAAAGUCUGACCGAGCAACGCCUCGUGAGUGAAGAAGGUUUUCGGAUCGUAAAACUCUGUUGUUAGAGAAGCUCUCUCUACCCAGAAAGCCACGGCUAACUACGUGCCAGCAGCCGCGGUAAUUC